AACACUAAUAAUUUGAGAACCUUUUAUUUGAAAUGUCAGUGUUCAGGAAAAGAAAACAAAAAACAGCAAUAUAAAUAUUAGCAUACAAAAUGUGAGUAGCACAUAGGAGCCAGGAAUCAAAGCGUCUUAUCGGAGAUGUUACAGCAAGAUUACAGCAUCAGCAGACACACACACACAGAUAAUAGAUCUAUUCAGAUUCUUCAUAUAGACAUUAAGAAGCAUUCUCACAUGUAAGCAUGACAGAGCGCACAAGAUUAAUAAUAGAGGAUUUUAGAUCUAUUUGCCCUCUAUUUUGUGUCUUCAUGGAAAAGUGUGACAGGAAAAGAGGAUGAUUAACACAAAAAUAUAUGCAUAACUUCACAACUUCUAGGCUAAGAGUGUGUCACUAUUUAUUUUCAUAGGUAAAAGUUAAACUCUUUAUUUACAGGUGCGUUAGUCGGCCUUCAUAGUACUAAAGAACUACAUUGGUAACAGAGUGUCAAAAGUGUUUAUUUUCUUCUUUUUCUCCAUUUUUAUAUUUUUUCCCUGUAAAAUAAAAGGACAUUCCAGUAGUAAGCCAUUCCUCUUGAGCUGAUUAUCUGAAAAGGUUUCAUGUGUUUUUACCAGCAUUUGGACAGAAUCUUUGCAUUACAAGUAUUUUCCAAAACCAGCUUUCCAAAGUUCUAAUAACUAACUCAUUAACGACAGUUAGCGUGCUUGUUGUACAUUCAAUGAUUGCAAGUUGUCUCCUAAAACAGCAUCAAUCCUAACUGGUAUUGAAUUUUAACUGUAUUCAUAUUCCAUUGAGCUUGUUGCACAUGGUCAAAAGAAAGAACAGCCUUAGCAUUAGGAAACUGCUGCCUAGAUCAGCAACUCACAAAGUCAGGAGGUUUUGUCACCAUCAAAACUACAGAUACUCACUUAAAGUAACCCAUCUAAUUACAACCAGCACUGAUAAAGAGCUUCAACACUUCAGGAUAACCUGGAAAUACUGAAUACUAAGGGCGAUAUGCCACUGCGGGCACUUGUGAACUUGUAACUGGUUUCACAAUGCCCCCAUUAUGGCUUGGCCAUCACUAAUGCUCCAUAAACAUUCAGUUAACACAAAAAAUCAACAACAACCAAACUCUGGCUCAGUGAUACACAGGGGGAUCCAUUCUUGAAAAGCAAAUUCAAAUCAUCAUAAAAGCGGAUGGUUUAACUGCCCAACUCCUCCUCCGUGAGAAAGUUGUAGAUGGGUGUUCAUAGAUGUCAGGUGAUAUGGAGAUUAUCUAUAGCGCAAAAAAACAGCAUGCAGCAAUAAACACCUGACUUGCAUCUACGUCAACACUUCUCCUAAAAUGAUCAAUAAAA